AGAAAUGAGAGAGGCAUGAGAAUGGGGAAAAGGGUAAAAUGGAGCUGGAGCUCGGCGAUAAUCGGAGCAGCAUCAGCGGUAGCAGCAACAGCCCUAAUAUCAGCAAAACCAAAGGACCCAACGUUCCACCUCAUAUCCAUUAACUUCACCUCCCUCAAACUCAACCUCCCUCUCCUCGACGCCGAGCUCCUCCUCACCGUCCACGUCACCAACCCUAACAUCGCCCCCAUCCACUACUCCUCCGCCGCCAUGUCCAUCUUCUACCACGGCUCCCUCCUCGGCUCCGCUCAGGUCCAAGCCGGCUCCCAGCCCCCCCGCUCCUGCCAGCUCCUCCGCCUCCCCGCCCGCCUCCACGCGCUCCAGCUCGCGCACCACGCCACGCGCUUCGCCCACGACGUCGCCAGCCGCGAGAUGGUUCUCGACGCCGCCGUGGACAUUGCCGGCACCGCUAGGGUCGCCUGGUGGGACCACCACUUCAAGGUCCACGUGGAUAGCCACGUCACCGUUGACCCCGUCUUUCUUGACGUCAUUGACCAGGAAAACACCUCCCAGCUUCAAAUCUUCACCGCGGCUUAGGACUCUUUAUGGUGUGACGUGACAAAGCACAGGGGGAGGGCGUUUUGCAUAUGGCGCCUCCCCCCCUCCUCAUGCGCCUUCUUCAAACCUACAGAAAGUGUCUCCCCCCUAUGUGCCUUCUUCAAACUGCACCUUUACGUUCCAUUUUAAAAUGCAAACGCGAGGUGGUGGGGUGUUUUGCACUGAGUUUCUCAAGUGGUGGGGCGUUUUGCAUUGAGUUUCUCAUUUUUUUCUACCACUACUAAAGUAGGUGAUCCAGCGUGUGGGUCCGUUUGAAGAAGGCACAUGGGGAGGAGGCGUAUUCUGUAGGUUGGAAGAAGGCGCAUGGGACGGGAGGCGUUUUCUGUAUUGGCCUUUGCCACGUCAUUAAAAGAAAACGCACGGGGGAGGCGCCAUCUGCGAAAUGCCCUUCUCCUUGCGCUUUCUAUGCCACGUCAAUGCUAGCGUGUCAAAAAUAACCUAUUUUAGUGAUUAAUUUUUUUUUAUAAUUUAUUUUAUGUAAUUUUUAUUUAUUUAUUUCAGCCAAUGAGCCGAUAUUGUGUAAAACAGUCUUAUUCUUAACAUGAGAUUAUAUUACAGAACACCUAUGUAUAAGCAACAAAUAGUAAAU